AAGUCGUAACAAGGUUUCCGUAGACUCAAGUCCUCGGGAUACAGAUCCUUCCGCAUGUACACUUGCCGAAGCCUUGUAAAGCAGCCCGAGAGGGUGACCUGCGCGACAUUAAACAACGCAGCUUAAAUGCUAGUCCUGCCCAGAGAUGGCGGGCGACACUUUCAAAUUGCGGGGAUACCCUAAAGGUCUCAGGUACCAAGCGACUGCUGGAAAACGGCGUCGUGGCCAGGUUAACGCCCUGGGUACGGUCAUAACCCUGAGACAUCGAUCCCUCCGGGGGUGAGAAUGGGCGAUCCGCAGCCAAUUCCCCUUUGGGGAUGCUGUUCACAGGCCAGAUGUUAGUGGGUGGCACCGCAAGGUUCCGCUUAAGAUAUGGUCGGUCUUCUCGCGAGAGCGAGGGGAGAAGUACAUUGCUCUUAGUACCAAGGGCUCGACGUGCGUGCACGUAGUACCCGUAAAACGUUCCGUAGGUGAACCUGCGGAAGGAUCAUUACUGAGAUAGGGUCCUUCGAGGCCCGACCUCCAACCCUUUGUCUACAUACCUCUGUUGCCUCGGCGGGUCGCCGGUGCCUUUGCGGGUACCGCCGUCGGCCUCGUGCUCUCGAGUGCCGCCAACAGGCCCUUAACCCUUUAACGUAGUAAUCUGAGAGUACUAUCAAUACUUCAAA
rnacentral:misc_RNA from 1 species